rnacentral:rRNA from 1 species
AGUGAACGCUGGCGGUAGGCCUAACACAUGCAAGUCGAACGGCAGCACAGUAAGAGCUUGCUCUUACGGGUGGCGAGUGGCGGACGGGUGAGGAAUACAUCGGAAUCUACUUUUUCGUGGGGGAUAACGUAGGGAAACUUACGCUAAUACCGCAUACGACCUACGGGUGAAAGCAGGGGAUCUUCGGACCUUGCGCGAUUGAAUGAGCCGAUGUCGGAUUAGCUAGUUGGCGGGGUAAAGGCCCACCAAGGCGACGAUCCGUAGCUGGUCUGAGAGGAUGAUCAGCCACACUGGAACUGAGACACGGUCCAGACUCCUACGGGAGGCAGCAGUGGGGAAUAUUGGACAAAGGGCGCAAGCCUGAUCCAGCCAUACCGCGUGGGUGAAGAAGGCCUUCGGGUUGUAAAGCCCUCUUGUUGGGAAAGAAAAGCAGCAGGUUAAUACCCCGCUGUUCUGACGGUACCCAAAGAAUAAGCACCGGCUAACUUCGUG